rnacentral:tRNA from 1 species
GCCACGGUGGUCUAGCGGUCAGAACGCUGGUCUUGUAAUCCUGGGGUCUCGGGUUCGAUUCCCGGCGGUGCCC